rnacentral:lncRNA from 1 species
UUACAGGGUUACUCCUCCACUGACAUUUAAGGCAGAUUUACAUUAGCAGAAUGCAGGGAGGUGCCCCUCCACCUGAGUUGGAGACCCGGGCAUCACCUAUCAUUUACCCUGAACAAAUAUCACCUUUCUAAACUACUCUUCCUCUGCAAAAAGUCUUUGCAAACUGUAAAGCUCUGAGCCAACAUAAUUAUUAUAUCAUUGUUUACUGCUUAUUAUAAUAUUAUAAUAUAAUAUCAUUUAAGACCCCGGGGUUGGUAAUCCCAGCAUUUCCAAUUCAUUCGAAAUGAAAUAAUCUCUAGACCCUCAGAAUUUAAAAUGUGGUCCGCAGACCAGAACCAGCAGCUUUGGCAUCACCUGGGGCUUGUUAGCAAUGCAGAAUUGCAGGCUCGCCCCAAACUUACUGAUUCAGAGCCUGCAUUUUAACAAGAUCUGCAGGUGAUUCAUAGGCUCGGAGAAGUUGGAGAAGCUCCGGUCUAGGUACGCCUGCCGAGAUUCUCAGGAGUGCAGAAAGUGGGAAACCGUCAGCAGUACCAGCCAUCACCAGCACUGACACCCAGGAUGCCAUUAGGAAGAGGUCCAAGACUAGCAGGGCAGCCGCUGUGAGCCUGGAAACUGCUUGGGUGCCUUGAGAUGGGCUGUUACAUCCACGGUGGCUCAGGGCUUCCUCUAUGAAGCAUCGACUCUCCUGGGCUUUCAGCUGGACAUUCAGGAUUCAAAGAUGAGUGCAGAGUCACAGAGACAAACGAGACCCAGUGCUGCGGGGACACAGAGGCCGGGGCCAAGAAUUCCUCCAGGUGGCUCAUGCCUGUAAUCCCAACACUUUGGAAGGCCAAGCGG